AAGGAUCAUUGUCAAAGCCUGCCCAGCAGAGUGACCCGUGAACGAGUGAAAACAUGCACGUGCGGUUCGAGGAAGGGCUCGCCCCCAAUCGUCCGUCCGAAAUAAACCAAAAACCGGCACUAUAGGCGCCAAGGAAAUCUUAGCGGAAACAGGGGGUCGCACCGUUCGCUGUCACGACCUUCGGGAUCCGAUACUCGAACGACUCUCGGUAACGGAUAUCUCGGCUCUUGCAUCAAUGAAGAACGUAGCGAAAUGCGAUACUUGGUGUGAAUUGCAGAAUCCCGUGAACCAUCGAGUCUUUGAACGCAAGUUGCGCGCGAGGCCACUAGGCCGAGGGCAUGUCUGCCUGGGCGUACACACAGCGUCGCACCCCGCUAACCACGUUCCCGGGGAGCGGAAAUUGCCCCCCGGGCCCUUGCGGGCACGACCGGAACAAAUGUUGGUCCCUGACGACGAGCGUCGCGGUCAGCGGUGGUUGUACUCUCACCCCCGAAGACAUCAAGACGCACCGCUCCGCCACAUGACGGGACAUACGACCGCAAAGAACCGCCUCACGCGGCAUCCACCCUGCGACCCCAAGUCAGGCGGAACUACCCACUGAAUUUAA
rnacentral:rRNA from 1 species